UGGGGAAUAUUGGGCAAUGGAGGGAACUCUGACCCAGCAACGCCGCGUGAGUGAAGAAGGUUUUCGGAUUGUAAAACUCUUUAAGCGGGGACGAAGAAAGUGACUGUACCCGCAGAAUAAGCAUCGGCUAACUACGUGCCAGCAGCCGCGGUAAUACGUAGGAUGCAAGCGUUAUCCGGAAUGACUGGGCGUAAAGGGUGCGUAGGUGGUUUGCCAAGUUGGCAGCGUAAUUCCGUGGCUUAACCGCGGAACUACUGCCAAAAUCUGGUAGGCUUGAGUGCGGCAGGGGUAUGUGGAAUUCCUAGUGUAGCGGUGGAAUGCGUAGAUAUUAGGAGGAACACCGGUGGCGAAAGCGACAUACUGGGCCGUAACUGACACUGAGGCACGAAAGCGUGGGGAGCAAACAGGAUUAGAUACCCC
rnacentral:rRNA from 1 species